rnacentral:pre_miRNA from 1 species
AAAAAGACAAACCCUAGAUUGCAGUGUCCAACGUUUGACUGUCCAUCUUAUGAGAAAUUUUUUUAUAAUUAGUAUUUUCAUUGUUGUUAGAUGAUAAAACAUGAUUAAUACUUUAUACGUGACUUGUCUUUUUAAUUUUUUUCAUAUUUUUUUAAAUAAGACGAACGAUCAAAUGUUGGAUACGGAAACCCAGGGUUUAUCUUUUU